CCUGGUGGGUUACAGUCCAUAGGGUCACAAAGAGUCAGACACAACUGAAGCAACUUAGCACUCAUGCACAUAAGAUACAUACCAUUAUUUUUCUCAUCUUGCUUAGGAGAAAAAGGAAGCCUAGAGGUGUUAAGACUACGAAGCUGGCACCUCAUUGGAGGGUCCCUCAGCAUAGUUCUAAGUCAGCUCCAUCUUAUCCAUCUUUGCCUGUGCCUGGCACAUAGGAGAUUCAGUAAAUAUCCAUGGAGUGGAUGACUGGGUAGCUGCAGACACGGCAGUGGAAGUGAGAAGACACCUGUUGUCCUGGGAAGUGUGCCUGGAUAAGACCUCCAGCUUAUCUACCCUGCAGAGCUUGUCCCUCAUCUCAGUCAUGGGAUGAGAUUGCUGGUCCCUGGCUCCCCUUGAGGGAAAAGCUACAUGGUUUUCAGGGAGCUAAUGCCUCCCACUGCCAACUCAGCCCCACCUACAGGUACCUGAGAAAACUCCGAAUGUAAAUUUUAAAUUAAAAAAUGGUGUGUAUACCACUUACA